rnacentral:rRNA from 1 species
AGCAGCCGCGGUAAUUCCAGCUCCAAUAGCGUAUAUUAAAGUUGUUGCAGUUAAAAAGCUCGUAGUUGAAUUUCGGGGUUAGUAGGUUGGUCAUGCCUCUGGUAUGUACUGGUCUCACUGAUUCCUCCUUCCUGAUGAACCUUAAUGCCGUUAAUUUGGUGUUUUGGGGAAUUUGGACUGUUACUUUGAAAAAAUUAGAGUGUUUAAAGCAAGCUAACGCUUGGAUACAUUAGCAUGGAAUAAUGAAAUAGGACGUUCGAUCCUAUUUUGUUGGUUUCUAGGAUUGACGUAAUGAUUAAUAGGGAUAGUUGGGGGCAUUAGUAUUCAAUUGUCAGAGGUGAAAUUCUUGGAUUUAUUGAAGACUAACUACUGCGAAAGCAUUUGCCAAGGAUGUUUUCAUUAAUCAAGAACGAAAGUUAGGGGAUCGAAGACGAUCAGAUACCGUCGUAGUCUUAACCAUAAACUAUGCCGACUAGGGAUCGGAUGAUGUUAAUUUUUUAAUGACUCA